AUUGAACGCUGGCGGCAUGCCUUACACAUGCAAGUCGAACGGCAGCACGGGUGCUUGCACCUGGUGGCGAGUGGCGAACGGGUGAGUAAUACAUCGGAACAUGUCCUGUAGUGGGGGAUAGCCCGGCGAAAGCCGGAUUAAUACCGCAUACGAUCUACGGAUGAAAGCGGGGGACCUUCGGGCCUCGCGCUAUAGGGUUGGCCGAUGGCUGAUUAGCUAGUUGGUGGGGUAAAGGCCUACCAAGGCGACGAUCAGUAGCUGGUCUGAGAGGACGACCAGCCACACGGGGACUGAGACACGGCCCAGACUCCUACGGGAGGCAGCAGUGGGGAAUUUUGGACAAUGGGCGAAAGCCUGAUCCAGCAAUGCCGCGUGUGUGAAGAGGGCCUUCGGGUUGUAAAGCACUUUUGUCCGGAAAGAAAUCCUUGGCCCUAAUACGGUCGGGGGAUGACGGUACCGGAAGAAUAAGCACCGGCUAACUACGUG
rnacentral:rRNA from 1 species